rnacentral:lncRNA from 1 species
GCCGGGAAUAUAGCUCAGCGGCACAAGCACCUGCCUGGCAAUUGGAAGGUCUGGAGUUCAAUUCCUGGUACCAAAAAAAAAAAAAAAAGAAGUGAGAUCUAAUUCUCAUCAUAUGGGAGAAAGGUGUCAGGUAUUUGAAGAAAGUGACUAAGAAAAGGGUCAAUUUUGCCCAUUGCCCAGUGAAGCUGAGUGAAAACACACACCAAGAUAAUACCUCUGAAUAUCCCUUCUCUACUCUGGUCACACGCCAUUCAGUGUCUCCCUUUCCUAGUCCACGAAUUCCUGGAGGACUCUUCUCCAUCCGUAACAUAACUCCUGGUUUCCUUAACCUUCUCUGUACGGCACAGAGCAGGAAAGAACUGCAAAGUGUUAGAAGGAAAAAGAAAGAACAUCAGACUCGAUCAUGUCACCAUGCAGAUAAGGACACUGAGGCCCAGAAGAGUUAG